rfam:Triticum aestivum genome assembly, contig: Triticum_aestivum_CS42_TGACv1_scaffold_375473_5AL
GAUAUACUUCCUUCGUACGAAAAUACUUGUCAUCAAAAUGAAUAAAAGAGAACGAUCUAGAUGUAUUGUAGUUGUAGAUACAUCAUUUUUAUCCAUUUUAAUGAUAAGUAUUUUCGGACGAAGGAAGUAUAAU